UAGAGAAGGGGCAUGUGGACUGGACUGUAGAUCACAGUAUUAUUCUUUUCCCAUGUAAAGUUGGUUGCACCUGCGGCAGUUUUUGGAACUUUUCCUGGAAAGGCCAGUGAAUACUCUCACUACUGCCAGAUGAAGCCAUGAAUCGCAUUGCACUCAUGCCCUUUCUUCUGCUCACUAUGAUGCUGCUGCUGUGGGGUGCAGUGUCUGUCAUUUCAGCUCAAGGCCAGCAGCUGUGCUUUUCCAAACAGCACCAGGAGAAGACCAUAAAUGUCAGGGUUGCACUCUCAAAAAAGACAACAAUCAUGCAUGCAGUUUGCCAUCCUUCUGAACUGGAUUGCCUGAAGGCUUGCUGCUCCACUGAUCCAAAAGAUUUUAAUUGCAACAUAGCUAUUUUCAAGCCUGGAAAACUACAAGGAACUGAAAACUGUUAUUUGUUUCACUGCAAAAGAGAUGAAGAUUGUCCUCUAAUGACCAUGCAUGGGGUCAAUACCUACAAUAUAUUUAAAGGUUUGGAGAUAAUAAAUGCUGUGUCAACUGCAAGAAACAGAACUACUGCAGCCACAACUACGACUCAUUCUACUACAACUCCAGCAUCUAUCACUCUGCUAACACCCACCACUACGACUACCAGACCCUCUAUUAGUACUUCAACACCUACCACCACUAAAGCAAGCACUUGUACCGCCACUGUUGUUAUUGCCCGAAAACCACACCAACCCACUGAAAAACCACCUAUAGAUCCAAAUAUAUCACUGCAAGUCACACCAAUAACAAAUACAGUAUCCACAACGGCAACUAAAAUUUUUACACCACCCAUAUUUAUUUCCAUAGCUCAAUCAGCACACCCCCGCACUGACCAUGUCUACCCUGACAGCUUGACUCCUCUAGCAGGGAGAGAUACUAACAACCUGGGAGCAGUGAAAUACAGCCUGGUAGCUGCUGUGGCAGUGGGACUAGUGUGUUUGACCUGCUUUGUGGCCUUGGUGGGAAGGAAAGCUGCAGAAUCAUUCAACCAUAGACAAUACACACGCUUGGAGCUUAACAACCUAAAAUAUGACAUCUAAAGUACAUCUGCUUAGACACAAUGACAUCAAGUUGGGCAUCUGACCUGCCCUUGUGUCUGGAACUUGAAGCUCAUUCACCACAUUAACUAUAAUGCAAAUUUCUGAGCAGUGAAAAGAGCCUUAUUACUCAUGUAAUUACUCUGUGUCUCUGACCGUUUUUUUUUCUUGUUUCUCUUGACUUCCAUUGGCACAACUGUGGUCCUUAUGUUGACAAACAUCCAUAACAUACUCCACAGGCAAUCAAAAAGGCAACCAAAAAAGCAAUUGAACUGACCAGUUAUGAUUCUCUGAAUUUAUAUGGUGAAACAAUUUUUUUAAAUACCCUUAAAUGACUUUAAAAUUACUUUAACCGGAUCUGAAUGGUUUGAUCACAAAUCUAAAAUUGUACAAAUCAAGAAAAAAAGAUGUAAUUGUCCCAAACAUUAUGGUGUUCAUAUGUCUACAUCUAAUCAUGUCAUAUCUUUAUCUUAUAUUAAUAAACAUCUGCUGGUAGAAUGUACCCCGUAUAGGAAGGAAAUUAUUCUUUACAGUGUGUGAUUUUUUUAUUUGCCAUCUGAAUCAAUAAAAUCUAAAAUUUUUACAAAAACUUUUUUUUGAGGCAUCCUUGGCUCAGUUAGGUCAGGAACCCACAUUGCCAGGUCACACGCUCUGGUUGCUUGGCCCCUUCCUACUUACUGAAAUCACUGCUUUGGGCAGUAUUAUUGCAGUAAGAGUUCAAUCCUCAACAGUGUAAGCCAAGCUGGCAGUUUCCACCUCACAGCUCAAGCUGAGCUCCCAGCUUCAAACUUGCAGAUCUCAACUCCCCGCUCACUCUGCUAUCUUUGGGUUACUGUAGGUUACACAUAUGUAUGCCCAACACCACAAGCCACCAGAACAGCUUCAAUGCACUUUGGCAUAGAUUAUACAAGUCUCUGGAACUCUACUGGAGGGCUGGAACAUCAUCCUUCCAAAAGAUAUCCCUCAUUUGGUGUUUAGAUGAUAGUGGUGGAGAGCACUGUCUAACACUUAUGCCAAAAUCUGUCAUAAGUGUUGACAACUGGGUUGAGAUCUGGUGACUACGAAGGCCAAAGCAUAUGAUUCCCAUAAUUUUGAUACUCAAACAAUUCAGGGACCCUGUGGAAGUAUGGGUUUUCUUCAUUCUUUUAAUGUUUUUACAUUUCUUCUUAUUAAAGAUUGUACUGAUCAAGUAUAUAUUUAAAUGUAUGUGAUUAUGGGAUGAUCUCUGAAGAACAAUAGGUAUUCUGUGUUAUGUCUAUUUGUAACUAAGGAAAGACAGUGGUCUCCUUGUACACUGAUGCAUACUACCUAAAGAAUCUUUGACCCCCAGUUGCAGGAGGGAAAAUUGUAAACAUUUACUUGGGUGGAAUUUUGUAAGUAACUUCUGGUGGGAAACAGUCUUGUGCAGAACACCUUUGAGUUGUAAGAGAAGAGAAAGAAUACUGAUUUAGAAAGAACUGAGUUGCUAUAUCUAGUAAAUGUAUAGAUUAUAUUCUAUUAAAAUGAAUGAAUGAAAAUCAAAGUAAUCACGGCAACAGUAUUGAUAUAAACAUAGUUUGUUAGAACAUGGUGGUAUGUAUAUGAGUCAAUAUUUCAGUUGGAUUACAGCAUGUAGUGAAUGCAUGUAAAGUGCAUGUACUUUGAAACUGGAAGAUGGAACAAUUGUUAACCAUGAGGACAAAUACUUGUUAUUCAAGUCAUGCAUAUAUAUUUCUCUGUAAGUGUGUAGUGAGAUAUCUGUCAUUGAUUAAAAUGGAAGAUUAUAUAAUAGUUAUUGUUAAACUAACUUAUGAAACAUAUGUUUGACCUAGGCUGGGAUUGGUUAUUUUAAAGGGAAGAUACAUCAGGGUAGGAGGAGAUCUGGUUGUAUAAAAAGGAUGUAAAAAAAUAAUGGGAAGCAGCUCUCUAUGUAUCUUUAUGGUACUAGAGACCUCCCGUAGGCCUACGUACAUGAAAAGGAUUAUUGAUUAAAGAGAAUAAAAAAGGUUAUUA